rnacentral:rRNA from 1 species
AACGAACGCUGGCGGCAGGCUUAACACAUGCAAGUCGAACGGGUGUAGCAAUACAUCAGUGGCAGACGGGUGAGUAACACGUGGGAACCUUCCUAGGGGUACGGAACAACUCAGGGAAACUUGAGCUAAUACCGUAUACGUCCGUGAGGAGAAAGAUUUAUCGCCCUGAGACGGGCCCGCGUCGGAUUAGCUAGUUGGUGGGGUAACGGCCUACCAAGGCGACGAUCCGUAGCUGAUCUUAGAGGAUGAUCAGCCACACUGGGACUGAGACACGGCCCAGACUCCUACGGGAGGCAGCAGUGGGGAAUCUUGGACAAUGGGCGCAAGCCUGAUCCAGCCAUGCCGCGUGAGUGAAGAAGGUCUUCGGAUUGUAAAGCUCUUUUGCCAGGGACGAUAAUGACGGUACCUGGAGAAUAAGCCCCGGCAAACUUCGUGCCAGCCGCCGCUGUAA